rnacentral:rRNA from 1 species
UACAGAGGUCCCGAGCGUUGUUCGGAUUCACUGGGCGUACAGGGUGCGUAGGUGGCUUGAAAAGUUUGAUGUGAAAGCUCAGGGCUUAACCCUGAAAUGGCAUUGAAAACUGUCGGGCUGGAGGUUUGGAGGGGGGACUGGAAUUCUUGGUGUAGCAGUGAAAUGCGUAGAUAUCAAGAGGAACACCAGUGGCGAAGGCGAGUCCCUGGACAACACCUGACACUGAGGCACGAAAGCUAGGGGAGCAAACAGG